AACGAACGCUGGCGGCAUGCCUAACACAUGCAAGUCGAACGAAGUCUUCGGACUUAGUGGCGCACGGGUGCGUAACGCGUGGGAAUCUGCCUAUGAGUAUGGAAUAACUUAGAGAAUUACGUCCUAAUACCGUCUCUUAUCUUCGGUCCAAAGAUUUAUCGCCCAAGGAUGAGCUUGCGUAAGAUUAGCUAGUUGGUGGGGUAAAAGCCUACCACGGCGACGAUAUUUAGCUGGUCUGAGAGGAUGGUCAGCCACACUGGGACUGAGACACGGCCCAGACUCCUACGGGAGGCAGCAGUGGGGGAUAUUGGACAGUGGGCGAAAGCCUGAACCAGCAAUGCCGCGUGAGUGAUGAAGGCCCUAGGGUUGUAAAGCUCUUUUACCAGGGAUGAUAAUGACAGUACCUGGAGAAUAAGCACCGGCUAACUCCGUG
rnacentral:rRNA from 1 species